UUAAGUUCAGCGGGUAUCCCCGCCUGAUCCGAGGCCAAACUUGGGUUGUGUCGUUGCGACGCAGGUGUUAACCCCACAUCCAGACGGCCGUCCACCGAGUGAGCCCACAGAGCGAUUGACUUGCGUCUUGCUACGCUCGUGGUCCGGCGGCGGCGCCCACGCGUUCCAGACCUGUCCUUUCACAGACAGCGUCCAACAUC
rnacentral:misc_RNA from 1 species